UUAUGCCUAUGUUUGGUGAUUGAGUAAAAUAUAUUUCCUUUAUAAAAAUUUUGAGCAGGGGUUAUGUGCCAAGAUUAUUCGAUCUUAUAUUUGGAAGGAAUAUUUUUUGGGGGAGGAUAUCGAUUUCUGUUUUUUUUUUUCAUGAAGAAGAAUUUGAGCGCUCCUCUAAGGAUGGAAACCCUAAGAGGACUUUGGAUGGGAUGUAGCCCCAGUCUACGGGUUUGGCACUGUAGUUAGGUGUCACUUAUGGACGUAGCUGACCCUAAUUCAAGGCGCAAUUAUAGUCACAGUUGGGUGUUCGAAUCUUGGUUGUAGAUGACAUUAUUGUGGUUGUCAUGACCCCUUCAUUCAAUCCACACUCCUAAAAUUUAAUGCACACGAAGAGCCCGAAGAGAGUAAGUUUAUCUUUUGCAACGUCUACUGGGAGAGUGGGCGGAUUUUAGUGGCGCCACUGUAAUUUCUAGAAAAACCCCAGUAUCAAUGUACAAGUUGCAGACCCCUUCGAGUCGAUCAUCUCCAGGUUAUUAGCGUGUAGUGCAGGCAUUUUUGAAAUGUGUUGAUAAACUCCAGCCCUGGAUAAAAUUAUGGUGUUGGAUCCAUUUGAUGGUGCUACUGUGGGUAAUGGGUUGAUUCACUCAGUAUCUAUUGUACAUGGAGUAAACUUGAAAGGAACAAGAGAUGCAAAUGUAAAUAUUUUAAAGGUCACAUGUAACAUACCUCUUGCUUACGAAGACAUAAUAGAGGGAGUUAUCCGUCUCAAAGAGAAAGAAGGAACCUUCAAACGGUGGCCACUAAAAUAUUUGCAAAAAAUGACAUAGUUAAUGUUUAUCAUGUACUGGCAGUUAGACAACUUGGCCUACUACUUUAUGCAGUGGUUUGAAUGUAUUGUUCAAGGAUCUUUAUCUUUAACAAUAUGUUCAUUUAUAUAUCUUUAUCAUGGUGUAUUUGCAAGA